rnacentral:tRNA from 1 species
GGCCGAUAUGCGGAAAACAAGGUCUGCAAAACCUUUAUUCACCGGUUCAAAUCCGGUCGCCGCCUCCA